AUUGAACGCUGGCGGAAUGCUUUACACAUGCAAGUCGAACGGUAGAGGGGGCAACCCCUCGAGAGUGGCGAACGGGUGAGUAAUAUAUCGGAACGUGCCCAGUCGUGGGGGAUAACGUAGCGAAAGUUACGCUAAUACCGCAUACGAUCUAAGGAUGAAAGCGGGGGAUCGCAAGACCUCGCGCGAUUGGAGCGGCCGAUAUCAGAUUAGGUAGUUGGUGGGGUAAAGGCUCACCAAGCCAACGAUCUGUAGCUGGUCUGAGAGGACGACCAGCCACACUGGAACUGGGACACGGUCCAGAUUCCUACGGGAGGCAGCAGUGGGGAAUUUUGGACAAUGGACGCAAGUCUGAUCCAGCCAUUCCGCGUGCAGGAUGAAGGCCCUCGGGUUGUAAACUGCUUUUGUACGGAACGAAAAGGUCUCUCUUAAUACGGGGGGCUCAUGACGGUACCGUAAGAAUAAGCACCGGCUAACUACGUGCCAGCAGCCGCCGUAAAAC
rnacentral:rRNA from 1 species